GCUGGGCAUAUUGGCAAAUGCCUAUAAUCUCAGCUAUAAGGGAUGCCGAGUCUCAUGGAUCCCUUAAGCUCUGGAGUUCUGAGCUGCAGUGGGCUAUGAUUGUGUCUUCAUUAAGUCUGGCAUCAGCGUAGUGGGGUUUCCCCCACUCCCAGGAUUGGAGGACCAAAAUUUUGCCUAUAGAGAGAUGAACUGGCCCAAGGCAGAAAUGGAGCAGGUCAAAGCUCCCUGUACCAAUCAGUAGUGGGAUCAGGCCCAUGAGUAGCCUCUUCUGUACUUCCAGACUGAGUGAGGGAUACCCAAUCUUU
rnacentral:SRP_RNA from 1 species